UCGCGGCUUAUCACCGGCAGUCCCCUUAGAGUGCCCAACUAAAUGAUGGCAACUAAGGGCGAGGGUUGCGCUCGUUGCGGGACUUAACCCAACAUCUCACGACACGAGCCGACGACAGCCAUGCAGCACCUGUCACCGAUCCAGCCGAACUGAAAGCCCCUCUUUCAAGGGGCCGCGAUCGGGAUGUCAAGGCCUGGUAAGGUUUUUCGCUAAAGCCGGAGAAUUAAACCACAUGCUCCACCGCCAAUAUCUCUAAUAAAAGAUGGCGGGUCCCCGUCAAUUCCUUUGAGUUUUAAUCUUGCGACCGUACUCCUCGAGGUGAGGGUGCUUAACGCGUUAGCUACAAUACCGAAACUAAUGUUCCGACAUUUAGCACCCAUCGUUUAGGGCGUGGACUAC
rnacentral:misc_RNA from 1 species